GACGAACGCUGGCGGCGUGCUUAACACAUGCAAGUCGAACGAAGUGGCGAACGGGUGAGUAACGCGUAAUCAACCUGCCCUUCAGAGGGGGACAACAGUUGGAAACGACUGCUAAUACCGCAUAAUGAAGGUGGUGAUUGCGUCUGCUUAGCUAGGUGGAGGGGUAACGGCCCACCAAGGCGAUGAUCAGGAGCCGGUCUGAGGGGGUGAACGGGCAAAUUGGGACCUGGAAACGGCCCAGACUCCUACGGGAGGCAGCAGUGGGGAAUCUUCCGCAAUGGACGAAAGUCUGACGGAGCAACGCCGCGGGAGUGAUGACGGCCUUCGGGUUGGAAAGCUCUGUUAAUCGGGACGCGGUACCGGAAUAGAAAGCCACGGCUAACUACGUGCCAGCAGCCGCGGUAAUUC
rnacentral:rRNA from 1 species